UACGUAGGGACCAAGCGUUGUUCGGAUUUACUGGGCGUAAAGGGUGCGUAGGCGGCAAUUCAAGUCAGCUGUGAAAUCUCCGGGCUUAACUCGGAACGGUCAGCUGAUACUGCUUUGCUAGAGUGCAGAAGGGGCAAUCGGAAUUCUUGGUGUAGCGGUGAAAUGCGUAGAUAUCAAGAGGAACACCUGAGGUGAAGACGGGUUGCUGGGCUGACACUGACGCUGAGUGCGCGAAAGCCAGGGGAGCAAACGGG
rnacentral:rRNA from 1 species